CAGUCGCCGCGGGAAUACGAAGGGUGCAAGCGUUAAUCGGAAUUACUGGGCGUAAAGCGUGCGUAGGCGGUGAGUUAAGUCUGCUGUGAAAUCCCCGGGCUCAACCUGGGAAUGGCAGUGGAUACUGGCUCGCUAGAGUGUGUCAGAGGAUGGUGGAAUUCCCGGUGUAGCGGUGAAAUGCGUAGAGAUCGGGAGGAACAUCAGUGGCGAAGGCGGCCAUCUGGGACAACACUGACGCUGAGGCACGAAAGCGUGGGGAGCAAACAGGAUUAGAUACCCCCGUAGUCCCUGUCUCUUAACA
rnacentral:rRNA from 1 species